GACGAACCGUGCGAACGUUGUUCGGAUUCACUGGGCUUAAAGGGCGCGUAGGCGGUAGCGCACGUCCGGGGUGAAAGCUUUCGGCUUAACCGGAAAAGGGCCUUGGAUACGGCGCUGCUGGAGGGAGGUAGGGGCAGGUGGAACUUCCGGUGGAGCGGUGAAAUGCGUUGAUAUCGGAAGGAACGCCGGUGGCGAAAGCGACCUGCUGGACCUCUUCUGACGCUGAGGCGCGAAAGCCAGGGGAGCAAACGGG
rnacentral:rRNA from 1 species